GACGAACGCUGGCGGCGUGCUUAACACAUGCAAGUCGAACGGAAAGGCCCUGCUUGUGUGGGGUGCUCGAGGGGCGAACGGGGGAGGAACACGUGAGUAACCUGCCCUAGACUUUGGGAUAACUUCAGGAAACUGGGGCUAAUACCGGAUGGGAGCUGCUGCUGCAUGGUGGGGGGUGGAAAGUUGCGGCGGUUGUGGAUGGACUCGCGGCUUAUCGGCUUGUUGGUGGGGUAGUGGCUGACCAAGGCUUUGACGGGUAGGCGGCCUGAGAGGGUGACCGGCCACCUUGGGUCUGAGAUCCGGCCCCGACUCCUACGGGUGGCCGCAGUGGGCAAUCUUGCACCAUGGGCGGCACCCUGAUGCAGCAACGCCGCGUGCGGGAUGACGGCCUUCGGGUUGUAGACCGCUUUCGCCUGUGACCAAGCGUGAGUUGCGGUAAUGGGUAAAGAAGCCCCGGCUAACUACGUG
rnacentral:rRNA from 1 species